UACGGAGGGGGCUAGCGUUGUUCGGAAUUACUGGGCGUAAAGCGCACGUAGGCGGCUGUUUAAGUCAGAGGUGAAAGCCCAGGGCUCAACCCUGGAACUGCCUUUGAGACUGGACGGCUUGAAUCACGGAGAGGUGGGUGGAAUUCCGAGUGUAGAGGUGAAAUUCGUAGAUAUUCGGAAGAACACCAGUGGCGAAGGCGGCCCACUGGACGUGUAUUGACGCUGAGGUGCGAAAGCGUGGGGAGCAAACAGG
rnacentral:rRNA from 1 species